ACCAGCCUUCCUGGGGGAACCAGAGGCCCAGAGGGGCUGGGGGGUACCCACCUUUAAAAUCAAAGAAGAAGGAGAGGCGGUUGGCCAUCAUGGCGCGCUGGCAGCCCACCAUGCUGUAGCCCAAGAGGGUCUCGGGGUCUCGGCUGAGGGCCUCUGAGGCCUCAGAGCCACUCACGCCCACCCAGACACCGGUGCGUGUCCCUCGGAGUGACGCUGGGUUGAUGCCUGCAGGAAGCGACGGUAAGACCUCGCGGCCUCUCCAGCCUGGGUCUGGGCGACCCCUUCCCCGCUUCACUCUGGAGGGGCCCCAGCAGGGCAGCCAGCCCAGGUAGGGCUGAGGACAGAUAACUGGGUCACAAGGAACCCGGGGCCCAGGGGACGGUAGGGCGCCAGGCUGAGAGACCAGAGAAAGCCGAGGUGAGGACAGAAGGCAGCAUUGUCCCCAGAAUACUCCCCUGGCCCCUGGUGUCACCAGUAGGGUCUGGCAAGCCCCAAUGACCAAUGAGCACCCAAGCACCAAGGGCAGCCUACCCUAGGACAGGCCAAGAUAAGGAAACAGAGGGAGACAAAGGCUGAGUGUCCAGGCUGGGAAAGGAGGGGGGGACCCUGGCCAGGACCCGGGGAGUGGCAUCCAAGGUCUCCGGGUGAGGACUGGGCAGUGGGAAGGCCUCUGCUCGCCCUUCACCCCGGGGUGCUGUGUGCCUGCAACACUGUCCAUUUCAGUGUGGGCGGGGGCUAGCCGUGUGGAGCCCCUGCUGGAGGGCGAGCUGCAGGGUCAGGACUGCUAGCCAAGGUGGGAGCGGGUGGCCCCAGGGGCCCCUUCAGAGCCAGGCUCCUGCCACCCACCUGCUGAAACACCACACCCACACGGUCGGCCUCCUUUCCCUGCCAGCUAGGACUUCCGUGCCCCUGCGGCAGUAGGGACAGGUCUGUGCCCCGGGACGAGGGACAGCCGUCUUGAGGCACUUGUCCAAGGCCACACACAACCCAGACGGGGGAGAGUGGACAGCACGAGUCCCGGGGGCUGGACCCCAUCUCCUGCUCUGCCUGGCACGCCACCCUCGCCCCAAGAGCAGCUGUCCACUGGGGAGGGCAGAACCUGGGCGUCCGGGCACACCAGGGCCACCUGCAUGUAUGUUGUGAAACCUCGACCUGCUCGCAGGCCCACGCCCCCCCAAGCUCCUGGGCCUGGACCAGCGCCCCGGGGAGCCGCAGCGCCUUGCGCUUCCUGUGGCUCCAGGCUCUGACUCGGGACGUGAGCUGCUUUUAGCAGUGAGAAUUGGCGCUCUCCCGACUUCCAGGCAGGGGGACCCUCAGGGAUGGGACCCCCCGCCGGCCAGCAGCUUCACAAAGACUCACCUCCGUCCAAGAUGGCCUCGUACGCGACCUCUAGCAGCAGGCGCAGCUGCGGGUCCAUCGUGUGGGCCUGCUUGGGGUGGACCCCGAAGAAGGAGGCGUCGAACCGGGACAGGUCCUUCAGUUUGCCGGACCUCCUGGGCAGGCCGUAAAGCCCUGCAGACACAGGCAGGGCCAGGCCGGGGGCCCCGAGUGACCCACGGCCAAGUCCCUGUGGCGGUGGGCGAGUGCUGCGGGGCCCAGGGUGCCUCUGGGACAGCAGCCCCCCUUCCCCCGCCGGGUGGCCGCGUGGGAGGCGGCCUUGGAACACAGCACGCUGGGGACCUCCUCCUCCACCGCCCACCUCUGUCCUGGCCCCGGACCCCGGGCUGACGCUGCCUGGCUGCCGAGGCCGGGCCAGGCCCCACCGGCUGACUCACACCCCGUAGAUCAGGUUGUCUGUCUUGGGCACGGGACAGCCACCCGAGUCACCAGGACGGCUGCCGAUCUCAGGCUUCUGCGUGAGGUUCCCUCCUCAUUGGUCCACCGUGACCCCCCCACGCUGGUCCGGCUGAGGGACCUCCACUGGGAGCCGGCCAAAACCAGUACCUGAUGGAAUCAGAUCCAACUGGGGACCGUGUCUGAGGGAAGUUGGCGGUAAGGACGCACGAGUUGGACUGUUGCUCACACCACGGCGGAUUGGUCUUCACUGGCUUCUGUCAAUGUCCUCUGCUGCCUACGGUACAAAGUUGGGCACUUUGCUGUAAGACUUGUCUGGUGUUCUCCAGGGGUUAAAAAUGGAGGGUCCCAAGGGGCCCUGAAGGCAGGCACACUGGGGUCCAUACACCGCAGCGUCACCUAGAAUGUGGUGGGCAGCGCGGGGCAGGCAGGCUGCCCUCCUACAGGGGCCGUUACGGGCCGUGAUCAUGGCGGUUGCAUCCAAGGGACGCCACCGGGAGUUGGGGAGAUUUUUUUUGGUAACGGCCCUUGUCUCUUCAGUCCCCAAACACUCCCUUGUGGUGCUUUUUCAACCCAAGGGAAACCAUUCAGAUUACAGAACGUAAGAAAGGUCCUGCCCGGGCUCAGUAGGAUCUAUCAGCUAGAUCUCUCCUGCAGGAAACAGGGCAAACAGAUGGCCCUACCGAGGUCCAUCCCAGGCCUUCAGGGCUCUGAAUUGGGACCCGGACCUAAGGGCCUCUAAUAGAACAUGUUUGGUCGUAACUAGACCAGUAAACUCCCUCGUGCUGAUGAUUAUCUAAAUAGGCCUCCUCCGAAAAACCCUGGUUACCUGGGGAACGCAGGCCUUCCUACCCAAGGGGGCUCCACAGGGUCCCUCUGGCUGUGCCGGGGGCAGCUCCCUCACUCCUGUCCCAGGUUAACGGCUGUAACUGGAACCAUGGCCUUGGGUGAGGCUACCUCAGGGCAGGGACUUUAACUAAUCUUCCCAAGCAGCUGCCGAAAGUCCCUUUGGGGGAAAUUCUUCUCUUCUCUGGCCACGGACUGUCUACUCCCCCUUGUUGGCGGGAAAACAUGGUGUGUGCUCCUCCAUCGGGUCUGCUGAGCUCUAGAACCGGGGGCCCUCUCUCCUGCCUUCCGGCCCCCUCCUCCUGCUCUGCGCCAUCCUAGGUGCGGCCUGCACACUGGCUUCUAGACCACCCUUGAUUCUCCUCCCACCCUCCUCUCGAGGAGCCAAGAACACAUCCUGGACUUAACACCACCCACUCCAUGUUUCUCCACCAGUGCCCCAGCCUGAGGAAACUUUGUCUUAGGACAUCAGCGACAUAUGGGAAUAAUAAAGUAUUCCUCUGCCAGCAAACUGAAGCCUUUAACUUUUCUACCUGAACCCUCUGAAAUCCUAAAGGUCCUGGUCAGUGUCCUUUCUUCCGUGGCGACCAUGGUCAUUUGCAUACAUUCAAUAAGAACCUGUUCUUGUAACAGGACACCACUGGAAACAUCGGUUAUUUUACCAAGGUUUGGCGGAGCGUCAUCUUUGAGAGACAGGCGUAGACUCAGAUAUGACUAAGCAGCUUGAAGGAAUGAAGGCUGAUUUUCUGAAACCUGGAGCCGUAAAGCCCCUUGGAGAUGUUGGCCGGAUACCUGGGCCGGAGCUCCCAACGGCCUCACCAGGGAGUAAAGAAUGUCAGUUCCUGGCAGGUGCAGGAGCCUCAGGAUACCCUGGGGACCUUGAGAAGAGGAAUACGCCCAAAUCUACAGGCAUUACAGGCAUGUCUGACAAGUACUGGACUUGGCUUCUGGCCUGGAGAGGCUACCAGAAGUUCAACCUAGAGAUUCCUUAUAAAAAUUUCCAGCAAAGUGGAUUCUGAAAGAUCUAAAUGAUCAAUCUCUGUUCCUCCUGAGCUUAUAUAAAUCAUUAGGUCACGUUUUGUUAAAACUGGACUCGUUUUACAAAUGACUAGGUCCCGAUUUGGCUACCUCUGUAUACAGGUGAGGGCUACGGUAGAGAGAAAACGUUUCAGUAACACGUCUUUGUAGAUAGAUUCUAAGCAUUGAGACUCAAGAAAACUGGAUUAUUCUUUUACCGAUAAGGGGUUCUUUGGGUGAGAGUUGCCCCAACGCAUUCAACAGAGUUAUUAGUUAUUGUCCCUUUGGAGUUACUAUGUGGCAAACCUUUUCUCCUAUAGACCUAUCAAUCGACGGAGACUAUAAUGCUCUAUUAAAUUAUUUACUCAAGGCCAGGUUAAUUCAUAAAUCUCUAAAUGAAUAUGCAAACCAUAUCCUCCGGAAACCUGACUUGACAGACACUAGCAACCCACCCCAUAUAAACCCCACAGACAUGAUUUAUUUUUAUUUAUUUAUUUUUUUAAUUUUUAUUUAUUUAUGAUAGUCACAGAGAGAGAGAGAGGCGCAGAGACACAGGCAGAGGGAGAAGCAGGCUCCAUGCACCGGGAGCCCGAUGUGGGAUUCGAUCCCGGGUCUCCAGGAUCGCGCCCUGGGCCAAAGGCAGGCGCCAAACCGCUGCGCCACCCAGGGAUCCCCACAGACAUGAUUUAAAGGAUUGGGAGUUGGGUGCCUGGUGGCUCUGUGGAUGAAGUGUCUGCCUUCACCUCAGGUCAUGAUCCCGGGGUCGUCCUGGGACCGAGUCCCACAUCGGGCUCCUUGCUCAGGGGGGAGUCUGCUUCUCCCUC